GGUUAAUGAGCACAAGCACGGACAAACACUACUACACUUUUCAAGGUCUGCAACCCAAAUUUGCUAACAUCUCUUAUUGUAACAUUGGUAUUCAGACCAGCUUUUGCACACCAACAUAGAGGUAUCGGCUUACAAUGUCUUCCAAGUUUGAGCAUAACAUUCUUUUUACUCGGCUGAAAUUUGAAGUUGAGACCUCGUAGCUCUCCCCACUCCAUAUGAUCAAUUCAAAUGACAGUCUCAGCAACAUAACCAUAGAAGCCUGUGUUGCAGGUGCAGUAGCAGCUCAUUUACAAUCCCAAGCUAC
rnacentral:misc_RNA from 1 species